rnacentral:rRNA from 1 species
AGAGUUUGAUCUUGGCUCAGGACGAACGCUGGCGGCGUGCGUGAUACAUGCAAGUAGAACGCUGAAGAGAGGAGCUUGCUCUUCUUGGAUGAGUUGCGAACGGGUGAGUAACGCGUAGGUAACCUGCCUUGUAGCGGGGGAUAACUAUUGGAAACGAUAGCUAAUACCGCAUAACAAUGGAUGACACAUGUCAUUUAUUUGAAAGGGGCAAUUGCUCCACUACAAGAUGGACCUGCGUUGUAUUAGCUAGUAGGUGAGGUAAUGGCUCACCUAGGCGACGAUACAUAGCCGACCUGAGAGGGUGAUCGGCCACACUGGGACUGAGACACGGCCCAGACUCCUACGGGAGGCAGCAGUAGGGAAUCUUCGGCAAUGGGGGCAACCCUGACCGAGCAACGCCGCGUGAGUGAAGAAGGUUUUCGGAUCGUAAAGCUCUGUUGUAAGUCAAGAACGGGUGUGAGAGUGGAAAGUUCACACUGUGACGGUAGCUUACCAGAAAGGGACGGCUAACUACGUGCCAGCAGCCGCGGUAAUACGUAGGUCCCGAGCGUUGUCCGGAUUUAUUGGGCGUAAAGCGAGCGCAGGCGGUUUGAUAAGUCUGAAGUUAAAGGCUGUGGCUCAACCAUAGUUCGCUUUGGAAACUGUCAAACUUGAGUGCAGAAGGGGAGAGUGGAAUUCCAUGUGUAGCGGUGAAAUGCGUAGAUAUAUGGAGGAGCACCGGUGGCGAAAGCGGCUCUCUGGUCUGUAACUGACGCUGAGGCUCGAAAGCGUGGGGAGCGAACAGGAUUAGAUACCCUGGUAGUCCACGCCGUAAACGAUGAGUGCUAGGUGUUGGAUCCUUUCCGGGAUUCAGUGCCGCAGCU